rnacentral:snRNA from 1 species
AUACUUACCUGGCGGGGGAGAUACCGUGAUCACGAAGAUGGUUUUCCCAGGGCGAGGCUUAUCCAUUGCACUCUGGAUGUGCUGACCCCUGCGAUUUCUAAAAUGUGGGAAACUCAACUGUGUAAUUUGUGAUAGUGGGGGAUGGUGUUCGUGCUUUCCCCUG